GUAGUCCACGCCCUAAACGAUGCGAACUGGAUGUUGGGUGCAAUUUGGCACGCAGUAUCGAAGCUAACGCGUUAAGUUCGCCGCCUGGGGAGUACGGUCGCAAGACUGAAACUCAAAGGAAUUGACGGGGGCCCGCACAAGCGGUGGAGUAUGUGGUUUAAUUCGAUGCAACGCGAAGAACCUUACCUGCUCUUGACAUCCUGCGAAUCUCCCAGAGAUGGAUUGGUGCCUUCGGGAACUCGAACACAGGUGCUGCAUGGCUGUCGUCAGCUCGUGUCGUGAGAUGUUGGGUUAAGUCCCGCAACGAGCGCAACCCUUGUCCUUAGUUGCCAGCACGUAAUGGUGGGAAC
rnacentral:rRNA from 1 species